rnacentral:rRNA from 1 species
GACGAACGCUGGCGGCGUGCUUAACACAUGCAAGUCGAACGAUGAAGCCGGAGCUUGCUCUGGUGGAUUAGUGGCGAACGGGUGAGUAACACGUGAGUAACCUGCCCUUGACUCUGGGAUAAGCGUUGGAAACGACGUCUAAUACCGGAUACGAGCUGGGACCGCAUGGUCACUAGCUGGAAAGAAUUUCGGACAAGGAUGGACUCGCGGCCUAUCAGUUAGUUGGUGAGGUAACGGCGCACCAAGACGACGACGGGUAGCCGGCCUGAGAGGGUGACCGGCCACACUGGGACUGAGACACGGCCCAGACUCCUACGGGAGGCAGCAGUGGGGAAUAUUGCACAAUGGGCGCAAGCCUGAUGCAGCAACGCCGCGUGAGGGACGACGGCCUUCGGGUUGUAAACCUCUUUUAGCAGGGAAGAAGCGCAAGUGACGGUACCUGCAGAAAAAGCACCGGCUAACUACGUGCCAGCAGCCGCGGUAAAAC